GAUGAACGCUGGCGGCGUGCUUAACACAUGCAAGUCGAACGGAAAGGCCCUGCUUUUGUGGGGUGCUCGAGUGGCGAACGGGGGAGUAACACGUGAGUAACCUGCCCUUGACAUUGGGAUAACUUCAGGAGAAUGGGGCUAAUAUCGGAUAGGAGCUACUGCUGCAUGGUGGGGGAUGGAAAGAUUCGGCGGUUGGGGAUGGACUGGAGGCUUAUGCGCUUGAUAGUGUGGUAGUGGCUUACCAAGGCUUUGAGGGGUAGGCGGCCUGAGAGGGUGAACGGCGACAUUGGGACUGAGAUACGGCCCAGACUCGUACGGGAGGCAGCAGUGGAGAAUAUUGCACAAUGGGCGGAAGUCUGAUGCAGCAGCGCUGGGUGCGUGAUACCGGGCUUCGGGUUGAGAACCAAUGUGGCAGGUGCUGAGCCGGGAGUGACGGUAAUUGGUAAGAAAGCACCGGCUAACUACGUG
rnacentral:rRNA from 1 species